GUAGGUGGCAAGCGUUGUCCGGAAUUAUUGGGCGUAAAGCGCGCGCAGGCGGUUCUUUAAGUCUGAUGUGAAAGCCCACGGCUCAACCGUGGAGGGUCAUCGGAAACUGGAGAACUUGAGUACAGAAGAGGAAAGCGGAAUUCCACGUGUAGCGGUGAAAUGCGUAGAGAUGUGGAGGAACACCAGUGGCGAAGGCGGCUUUCUGGUCUGUAACUGACGCUGGGGCGCGAAAGCGUGGGGAGCAAACAGGGAUUAGAUACCCUGGUAGUCCACGCCGUAAACGAUGAGUGCUAAGUGUUAGGGGGUUUCCCGCCCCUUAGUGCUGCAGCUAACGCAUUAAGCACUCCGCCUGGGGAGUACGGCCGCAAGGCUG
rnacentral:rRNA from 1 species